UUCUUAUUAUUGAUUGCCUAAACAACGGCGUGUUCCGGGGCUAUUGACACAUGUCUCCAACUUUCUGCCUUGACUUUGGAAAAUUAUCAGAACCCCUAGUUUUGUUUUUUUCUUUUUAUUAGGAAACCCAGGUAGAAUGUUGUGUCUAUCAAGUAAAAACCUGACGAGGUUGCCCGUGGUCUUUGUUGAGCUGUUAUUUCACAACGACAAAUUAAUCUGAUAUAUCAAAACUAAUGGCUAAGUUUAAGUCGCAGCACAUCAGCGUUAAUUGAGCAAUGUUGAAAUAUUGCAUUUAAGUAUAGACAAAUGAGACUAAAAUUUCAUAACACAAAGAAACUAGGAGAACAACUUGUUCCUUAUACUCUCCAUCAUUUCCUUUUUGUAUUUAAAAUUACCCAUCGAUUUAAGCCAAUUAACCUGUUUUAAAUUUUUAAUUGCUAUCUGAGUUCUCACCCUGCUGGACGUCUCCCAACUUCGCCAAUCAUGGCGAAAUCUCUUCAGUUGAACUAUCAACUCGUAUUGCAGCGCCGGAAACCUGAGAAUUCAACAAAAUGUUCAAUGCUCUGCCAUCCAUUUUUCUGAUUGUCGUGUUCAUGCUGGCGACCGCGUCUGCUCGCGUGUGGAAUUACGCCGAGGGUAACCAAGUUCGCUGGUCGGGAAAUUGUAAUUUCAGGGGCUACGACUUCCAGAGAGUUUUUGUACCAAACGAUAGGUGUGGAAGGGCGUGUCUCGACAACAGUUUCUGCACUCACUUCACCAACACUCGUACUACCUGUUAUCUAAAGAGAAAUUUGGACGGGUGGAGAGAACAAUUUUCCCGUUACGAAGACUGCGGAUUCAUCCCUGCCCGAACCAAGCAAUCCACUGAACCUCGAGACACUAUUGCUGCUAAUUUAAAAAGAGUUAUUAAUAACAAUCUCGAACAAUUAGCGCUCCCACUUUGUUGUAUGGGAAGAUGAAGGUGCGCUGCACACAUUUUUAUAGCUUAAGAUUUUAUCUUUUUUAAUACCAUGUAGUAUUUAGUUCUUUAUGUUUACUUGCGAGAUUUAUACAAUUUAUGGGGUGAUGAAAAAAAAAUUUCUUAUUCUUUUCUUUA